AUUGAACGCUGGCGGCAUGCCUUACACAUGCAAGUCGAACGGCAGCACGGGAGCAAUCCUGGUGGCGAGUGGCGAACGGGUGAGUAAUACAUCGGAACGUGCCCAGUAGUGGGGGAUAGCCCGGCGAAAGCCGGAUUAAUACCGCAUACGACCUACGGGUGAAAGCGGGGAUCGCAAGACCUCGCGCUAUCGGAGCGGCCGAUGUCAGAUUAGGUUGUUGGUGGGGUAAAGGCCACCAAGCCGACGAUCUGUAGCUGGUCUGAGAGGACGACCAGCCACACUGGGACUGAGACACGGCCCAGACUCCUACGGGAGGCAGCAGUGGGGAAUCUUGCGCAAUGGGCGAAAGCCUGACGCAGCGACGCCGCGUGAGGGAUGACGGCCUGG
rnacentral:rRNA from 1 species